UGUGCAAACUAAAAUAAAGUGAACAAACACAAUGUGUAAACUAAAAUAAAGUGAACAAAAACACAAUGUACAGACUAAAAUAAAGCAAAAGUGAACAAAAGCACAAUGUGCAAACUAAAAUAAAGGUGAACAAAAACACAAUGUACAGACUAA